GGAGAAUUGGCAGCGGGUGAAUCUGGGAGGAGAGAGACUCCUGGCGGUGCCAGAAGAUCCGGGACUAAGAGGGAAGGGCCUUAAAGGGGUCACAAAGCCUCCUUUUCAGAUGAGACACCCAGUGACUUUGCUAGUAGUCUUCUAUUAGAAUUUAAGGCAGGAUUUGAAUUUAGGACUUCCCGGCUCCAUGUGCAACACUCUCUCUAGCUGUGCCCCCUACUACAUGGGACACUGGGGCCUCGGUUUCCCUCUUUCUCACAUUGCUGACCGAGCAACCGGCUCUGAACCUGAUGUUUGGAUGGUUUUCUUGCCAUCUGGACUGAAUCCACCUUCCCUUCCCCCUGCCCCGCCCCCUCCCAGAUCCAAUCUUGUGUGCAAACAUUUACAGCCUGUCCACCAGGACAGUGUGUCCCGGCCCCUCCUCCUGUCCCUGAUGCUGAGUGGGCAGCCUGUCCUUCCGCCGACCUCGUGUCUCUGCGUGUUUGUGAUGCCGAAUGAGAGGUUCUGAAGUCUCUUUUGGCUGUGGGAGGUUCUAGAGCAGCUGCUCGAUCCUCUAGUGACUAUUGGCCUCUGGUGGACAUCUAAGGGGCCGACUUGCUCUGAAAUUCUGGGAUCUCAAGGACAACUCUACCCUGUGAACUCUAUGGACAAGUAGGAGCAGAACAUGGUAAACGUGGUUCGUGACCAGCCUGAAACCAGCCAUAAGGGAGGUGGCAGCCCAGGAGCCUGUGUACUGACACUGUGAAAAAACCAGACUUUUUCUUCCUUGGUACAGACAGAAAGAACACUGGGGAGCUGGGUCCUCCAGAGAGCCAAUCCCCUGGCUCAAAAUCUCACUGGCUUUCUUGGGUGAUACAGCCCAGAGUUCACUCUUGUGGCAUUUGCAGGCCACUAAGACCCUGAGAUCUUCUUAAAACAAAUCCCUGGGAAUGUUUGUGGAUACCCUGAUGGAUAAUCAAUGACAAAAUUCGUCCUGACCUUCCUUCUCUGUUACCAUCAAGACACGUACUUUGAUUUCCAAGAAUCUUCCCCAAAGUGACUCCCAAAAUUCUAGAACAUCCUCAAUUGGCUUGGACUGAAACCAUGAAGAUUUCUUCCCGAGACUCUGAGUGACCGAGUUCUACCGAUCCCUCGCGGUUCCGAUAUCCGAUGCUCCAUGUUGUCUGGUCCCUCUCAGCCUUACCUCUCUGCAAUCAGGCCCAAGGGAUCUAACCCGUUCCCUACAGUGAUGCUAUGUUGUAACGCCAGCAACCUGUAACACCUACGAACUGUCUCUUGCCCUCGAGGACCCUCUGGAAAAUGAGAUGCUUUAAAUAAAGUGGAACACACAUUUCUUCCUGCCUGGCUAUAUGC